rnacentral:lncRNA from 1 species
AUGACAGAAGUGGACACUGACGACACAUGUAGCGUAGCCAGAUCAGAUGAUACUGCCAGAUCAGAAGUGGAAAGUCGGGGAGAUCCUGACGAAAUGCCAUCUUCAGGUGGAAGCAGUUUUCGACCAGUAGCCCCUGAACCUCUUGUGACAAGUAGUAGACUCAGUGUUCCUCAGUCCCCAACUCGCAUCGAUGUCUCCAGUAACAGAAAUACUACUCGCGUUGAUUAUCGUAGACGCACUUUAGAAUUUGUCGAUACAACUCGUCAUAAUCAUCCUUAUCAUUCCAGGCCAAGUUUUGUUGCGGCCAACCAAAAUGAAAAUGCAAAUAAAUUGAUUCAUGUAAUCGAUAAAAUGGAAAAGCUGUGUGACCCAAAAUCUGUUCCAAUGACAAGCGUCAGUGAGCCUGUGCAUACCUCAAGCACUAGUGGGAAUUCGACAAGCCCUGUUUUAGCAGGACCCUCAUUAAUUCAAGGAGGCUCUGGAGGGCAAGCAUCUUCUCUACUGCCCACAAGUCUGUUCAAAGCUCCAAACUGCAGCAGCAACUCCUCAGCAAACCUUCCGCAAGCACAAUCAGGAGAAACACAGGCAGUUCCUGCCAGUAGUGGAAAUGUUAUUUCAUUGAAAACCAAUCACCAGGCGUAUCGAUCACAAACCUCAUCAAGCCAGGAUGUGUCGAUAGAUGACCCAGAAUCCACAGGUGUUUGUGUUAGCACAACAAGUCUGGCAUCAACCAGUAGUAGUGGCAGUAGCACUGGUAAUCGCCCCAAAAUGCAUAAUGACCUUUGUGCCUCGCGUCCGAGUCCUGUUCCGAACGGUUCUAUCUUGACUAUGGAUGAAAGAACUCCAACUAAAGAAGUCGCACCCAAACCAACAGGCGCUAUUCCACGAAGCAUCAGUUUUGAUAAAACUGCUGAGCGAGGUGAUAAGGACCUUGAUGAUGACAGCAAACACAAAAGAGGAAGCUUUUUCCAAAAAUUCCGACUUCCCUUCAAAAAUCGGCGUGGGAAAGGUUUCCGUGGAGGAAUUGAAGAGACGAGUAUCUGUAAUUUUGACGGAAAUACAACUGCAAUCAUAGAGGGUGAGAACUUAGUCAGAGUUCGCCUACGAAGAGGUGCCCCAGAGGAUAUAAAAUCAACUCAAAACGACACCUCUGAGGAUAUUCUGGCUAAAUACCGAUCCAAGUCAAGCAAUUUGCAGGAUGCAGCAAGCGAAGGAGCAAGUAGCAAAUCUGGUGGAAGCAUGAAUCGAUUUCAGAGUAUUGAAAGAUCAGGCAGUGAAGACGAAGGAACAAAUCCAGACUCAGACCUAUCAAUCUUUGAUGACACCAAGAAAAAAUUACGAUUUGUAUUAAGCUCUGCUGAAAUUCAGUAUCUUCCUUGGAACAAUGAGCAUAAUAUUCCUGUCAUUAGAAAUGCUUGGAGUUGCAAAGAUAAUGAGUUGGUAGGCUUUCUCCAGUUGCAAUUAGCUGAAGCCCUGAAUCUUCAGGAUCGAUCUCUUAUAGCGCAUUUACAUGAGACUCUUCGCCGAUUAAGACUUUUGAUGGAGAUGGGUUAG